AUUGAACGCUGGCGGCAUGCUUUACACAUGCAAGUCGAACGGCAGCACGGACUACGGUCUGGUGGCGAGUGGCGAACGGGUGAGUAAUACAUCGGAACGUGCCCAGUUGUGGGGGAUAACUACUCGAAAGAGUAGCUAAUACCGCAUGAGAACUGAGGUUGAAAGCAGGGGAUCGUAAGACCUUGCGCAACUGGAGCGGCCGAUGGCAGAUUAGGUAGUUGGUGGGGUAAAGGCUCACCAAGCCGACGAUCUGUAGCUGGUCUGAGAGGACGACCAGCCACACUGGGACUGAGACACGGCCCAGACUCCUACGGGAGGCAGCAGUGGGGAAUUUUGGACAAUGGGCGCAAGCCUGAUCCAGCCAUUCCGCGUGCAGGAUGAAGGCCCUCGGGUUGUAAACUGCUUUUGUACGGAACGAAAAGGCUCUGGUUAAUACCUGGGGCUCAUGACGGUACCGUAAGAAUAAGCACCGGCUAACUACGUGCCAGCCGCCGCGGUAACAC
rnacentral:rRNA from 1 species